CAGCACGGGAGCAAUCCUGGUGGCGAGUGGCGAACGGGUGAGUAAAGUAUCGGAACGUGCCCAGUCGUGGGGGAUAACGCAGCGAAAGUUGUGCUAAUACCGCAUACGAUCUAUGGAUGAAAGCGGGGGAUCGCAAGACCUCGCGCGAUUGGAGCGGCCGAUAUCAGAUUAGGUAGUUGGUGGGGUAAAGGCUCACCAAGCCGACGAUCUGUAGCUGGUCUGAGAGGACGACCAGCCACACUGGAACUGAGACACGGUCCAGACUCCUACGGGAGGCAGCAGUGGGGAAUUUUGGACAAUGGGCGCAAGCCUGAUCCAGCAAUGCCGCGUGCAGGAUGAAGGCCUUCGGGUUGUAAACUGCUUUUGUACGGAACGAAAAGGCUCUGGUUAAUACCUGGGGCACAUGACGGUACCGUAAGAAUAAGCACCGGCUAACUACGUGCCAGCAGCCGCGGUAAUACGUAGGGUGCGAGCGUUAUUCGGAAUUACUGGGCGUAAAGCGUGCGCAGGCGGUAAUGCAAGACAGAUGUGAAAUCCCCGGGCUUAACCUGGGAACUGCAUUUGUGACUGCAUUGCUGGAGUGCGGCAGAGGGGGAUGGAAUUCCGCGUGUAGCAGUGAAAUGCGUAGAUAUGCGGAGGAACACCGAUGGCGAAGGCAAUCCCCUGGGCCUGCACUGACGCUCAUGCACGAAAGCGUGGGGAGCAAACAGGAUUAGAUACCCUGGUAGUCCACGCCCUAAACGAUGUCAACUG
rnacentral:rRNA from 1 species